AGUGUAAAGGUUUUUGGAUUGUGAGCCCGGAAAACAAUCCAACUGUAAUCCGCGGGAUUAUAGUGAAUUUCCAAGGGGUCGCUUGGGGAGUGGAGGUAGGUGCUAAGGAGAGCACCGAAUCACUAUACUUCUUGUUGUUUGCAUUGUGAUUUGUUUAAGUUCACUAACUCAUCAUUUAACACAAGUAAGAUAGUUAAAUUUAAAAGAAACCAAUUCACCCCCCCCCCUCUUGGCUUGUCACCUUGGGCAACAAGUGGUAUCAGAGCAAGGUGCUCUAAUAGUACUCAUUGAUCUCACAAUCAAGAGUUAAAGAUCAUGACAAUCCAAGUGGGAU
rnacentral:lncRNA from 1 species